rnacentral:lncRNA from 1 species
CAAGUGUCAACCAUGGCAACUACAUAUGCCCAGUAUGUCGUGCUGAGUGGAAAGAAAUUCCCUUCGAGGGUACGCAACCUGCUGACAUUAUGAAUGUUUUCGCUAAUUUGCAGGUUCUGAUUAAUUAGCACAUUAAUAUUUUCUGUUCACUUUCUUCAUUUCAGAAGGUAUGUGCCAUUUCCCUUGGUGGCAUCAGGACAGGAGGGCAAGCCUUGUUCAUAGCCGAAUGCUCCCACGAAUUCCAUUUUCAUUGCAUCUCUUCAAGUGUCAACCAUGGCAACUACAUAUGCCCAGUACUCAACCUGCAGACAACGCUUAUGAAAGAUCUUGAGUAAGCCCUGUAAAUUGGCCCCAGGAUGAGGGACAAAUGUCUGUUGUCUGUUGCAAAUCCCCGAGGACGCCGAGAGCUAUCAAACUAACCACAUAUCU